UUUAAGGUGCUGUGAUUUUCUGACCACUCAGGAACUCAGGUCCCAGUUUUCAUUUCAGACUCAGCAUUUGGAGGCUGUCCUGUCAGAGACUGUGUAUUUGAUUUCCCAAAUUCCGAAUCCUUUUUCUCAUCUUUAUAUAUUAUUUCCACUAAUUCUUCUAGUUUUUUCUCCAAAUAUGUCUUCAAAGUCCUUCGUAUUUGUCUCAUUUUCCUCCGAUGUGUGACACAAACAUGGAAUCUGGAGUAGAGAUAUGACAAUCCGUAAUUCAAGUUAAAAAGCAGUAUUUAAAAAAAUAUCAAUGCAAUUAUUUUCUUUUACUUUUGGAUUACUCUGUGUUCCUUCUCUCAUUCCCAUCCAGCUUGUGUGUGUGGUUUUUCCCUUUUCCUCCUUUCCAUUAGGGAGAAGGGAGUUUAGACAUAACACUCUCUUUUGCAAAGUAAUGCUUGGAUGGGGGAAAACUCACAGUAGCACAGCACUUGCCAAAAUGACAGCUUCUGCUGUAAAUAUCAAAUAGAGUGAAAUCUCUCGAUUUUCAGCCUCCCUUGGGUCAUCAUCUAGAAGAUAAAAGGAAAUAGAGAAAAUGAGUUUGGAAUGAGGGAAGUUGUUACUAUGAUGUUUUCUGCAGAAUGGAUAUCACCAUUCUUCAAUUCCUUGUGUUAGAUCCCUCCAGAAAACUGUUACUUGCUGUCCUUUAGCCCUAAUACCUUCUGAGGCGGAGUCUAACAUCCAGCCGUAUUCAUUCUUACCUGGUCCCACUGGCUUUAUUCUAAGUUGUUUAAGUUUAAUCUUUUACUAAGCAUUUUAUUUUAGCCUUGGUUCCCCUUUUUAGCAGUACUGUAAGCUUCAUUAAAAGUAUGCAAAUAAAAAGGUAGUGGGCCAUCCAGUUCCUUGAGACCUGCCCCCCCAUCACCUUGACAAUAUUCUCCUCUGAAACACCGGGUGGUCAUUCGAAGACAGGUCCAACAAUCAAGGACAGGACCUUCAGUUACAACUGGCAAAGAAAAAAUAUAAUCAUAAAGGGUCAUAGCAAGGGUUCUCCUUAGCUCACGAAUAGAGAUUAAAUCUUGGACAUUUCAGGACUCUUAAGUUACAUUUCUUGGAAUCCUUUCUCUACUAAUCAAGAUUCUUAAAAAUUCAAAGUUAUAAAUAUUUGGCUGUGGGCGAAGUGGAGCAAUGAUGCCAUAGCUCACGUUGGAGCUGUGGGUCAGUACCUCUUCAAAAUGUGGGGUAAUACAGAAAUUGUAUAUGCCUAGUUUUGUCAUCAGAUGUUAUUGAUAUUUCCUCUACGACUCUAAGAAUUGGGAGAAAAGAGCAAACAGAGAAAGGAGAUGGGCUGAAACCUCUAGACGUCCCAUGUACUGUACUCACUGCAAUCUUCUGAACAAGCUGAAAGAGAAUCAAAAAGAUCCGAUGAGCUCAGACUCACCCUCACUGUGCCACAUCAAUACCCAUCUUACUCCUGCUGUCUCUUCACUUCGCACUAUACCUAAACCCGUCUGACCUGGAUGCUCAUUCCCCUUCUCACCCCAUAGGUCAGCUCUCUGACAUAAUUUUAAUGCUGUUUAGACAGAAAUGUCUCAUUACCAACUUCAGAGAAGUUCUUUAGUAUUUGUGUCAGUUUGUUCUCCAAGUUUUGGCGGACCGCCAGAAGCUUGCCUCGAAUGAUGAAGACUCCUAAAAGAGAAAUGGACGUGACACCAGCAAUCAGGGUGAUUGUUUCAGAAUUUAAGCCCGUUAUAUUGCUUUGUUAUCCCUAGUCAAAUUUCCUCUUUACCUGUUUGCACCAUAAAAGCUUUAACAGUGAGGCAGUGCCUUACCUUUCCAUGUUUCAUUGCCCAGUCUAUAAAAUUCAUCCUUCAGCCAUACUCUCAAUUUGACAACAUUUCGAACAGCUACACAGGAAAGAGAAAAGUAUGUGUAGGGGAGGCAAUAAUCAUAUCUUUGAAGGAUAUGGAUUGGACCCACUUGUUUUGUCCCAUGCCUCCCAUCCCCCUUUAACCUCCCCAUUUCUCAGGACUCGUUUCCCUCACCCAACAACCGAAGCAUCUUAUCCUUGUGAGAGACCUUGGAGCUUAUAUGGGUUAUCUCCUUAUGCUGCCUUUCCAGCAGUUGAUUUCUCUCAGGAACUUCUAGAGGUACCAGGUUUUCCAACAAGAUCCUAACAUCCUCUGUAAAUUUGGGGUCACACUCCAAACAGCCCUUGACCCCAUGAAAGGCUGCCAGGAACAGAGGUAAAAACAGAAGUAUCCAUAGGUCUCUCAUUUCCUUGCCCCACCCCUUUCUCCCAACACUGGUUGUCUUGGCAACUGGUUCCCUCUUCUUCAAAAAUCCAGGAAUGAGAUCAUUGUCUUGGAUAUUCUGAGUACAUUUUCUCCUCCUUUUCCAUCCAAAUUUUAGGGAAUCUCAUCUCCCUAAGGAUCUUCAGUAGUUUUCUGACAUUUAUCCUUCAUUCCAGAGAGAGGGAACUGCUGGCUGGAGAGUAGUUACCUGAGUUCUGAGUGUAGAACACAGAGAGAAAAGCCUUGAGCUCACACAAGCAGAGUUCUGUGCCAGGAGAUAUCUAGAAAAGAUUUCUUUAGUUCUCUGUGUGUAAGACUUAUCUGAUCUGUUAUCUCUUGUAACUUAAUAAGAGACACAGAUGAUGGAAGGGAUUUCAUAAGACCUUAGAGUUCAACCCAUACUUAUCAUCUAGGAGGACUUUGAACAUGUUUAAGGUGCUUCUCAGCCAUUCGAGAUUCUUCUGCUGUGAAUUAUCAGUGUUCUGGUUUUAUGUUGAGGCCUUUGAUUUACUUGGAAUAGAGAUCUCUGCAGAGUAAAUCAGUAACAUUCUUACCAAAUGGACUGAAAAAGAAAUCAGAGAAGCAACACUUUUCACAAUAGAUUAAAAUCAUAUGAAGUAUUUGGAGCUGGGGACCGAACCCAGGGCCUUGCGCUCUACCGCUGCAGAACUCUAUAAUUUUAAUUUUCGACUUUGAAUAAAGCCCUGAUAUUCUUCUAAUGAGUCUUCAAAAUCUUUUUUCCACUUUCUUCAUUCUAGUAAUUAAUUUUCAUUUAUAAUAAAAAUAAAGCAAUCAGAAUAUUUAACUUAAAUAGAAUAGAAUGCUUCUUUACUCCAGUUUGUCAGUAACAGUAAAACUUAGCUAUAUAGAAUCAUUACUUUCCUAGAUUUUCUGAAACUAGCCAUAAGAGAUAAUCCAUUCUCAGAAUUCUGUUCUUGUUUAUGUGAUGAUAAAAUGAUGAGUGAAAGAUAUAGGACAAUUUAUUUUGUCUGAUUUGCAUGUCUUUUAAAAUACUUUGCCCAGGAGAUCUGAUGCAGUCCACAGACCUGGGAACAUAAACUCAGUUAUUAUUGGCAUUUGAUUCAGCCUUUUUCUCUUAUCUCCCAUACCCUUACCUGCUCUGUUUACCUCAUUCCAUGGAAUAUCCUCGUGCAUGAGGAUGAAAUUCAGCUAAGAACACCUUGUGAAGUUUUUUUCUGUAAUCAAAACUUCUGCUUGUCCAGUGUCAAUGGCAAGUUACAUGCAGUCCAAAGCCUGUCCCAGACCAUGUGGCUUUAUGCUAUCUAUUCCUAAUAAAACAUAACUAUGUCGAUUAGUUUUGUCAACUUUACACAAGCUAAAGUCACCUGGGAAGAGAAACGCUCACCUGAAGUAUUGCCUAUUUAAGAUUGCCUGUAAGCAUGUCUGUGUGGAAAUUUUCUUUGUGGCUGGUUGAUCCUAAGCCACUGCAUGUGCUGUCACCCUAGGCAUGCUGUCUUAUAAGGAAAGAAGCAGAGUAAGCCAUGAGAAGCAAGCCAGUAAACACUAUUCUCUUGUGGCUCUUGCUUCAGUCCUACCUUGAGUUCUUGCUCUGACUUCUGUUCCUUGAUGGAUUGAAUGGGAGAGUAUGCCAAAUAAAGCCCUUCUUCCUCAAGUUGGCUUUGUCAUUAUCUUAUUACAGCAAGAGAAAACAAAAUAGGAAAAUGCAUCACUGAGAUCCUCAAGAGCUUUGGAUAAAUGAGUAUAUGAAAUAUCCUUAGGAAGUGUUCUCAAUCAGAUUUGGUAAGAACACAUGUCAUGGUUAAACCUAUGAAGAAAGAUAAGACUAUACAGAGUCCCUCACUCCUUACACAAUCACUCUCCUUUUGUAGUGUGGUGUAUAUCACAUGUGUUGGGGCUUAAGAAGACAUAGCAUAGGUUCAGAGGAUGACAUCAUCUGUCUUGCUCCAUGGACCAAUGCCUUUUUUCCCCACGAGAAAGAAUUCUCUCUGAACAUUGAAGCUUGGCAUUUCUGAUACUGUGUCAGAGCAGGGAGCUACAGGGAUCCUCUAUUCUUUUUCUGUUUUCAGUCCUCCAAUAUUAGUUUGAAUUCACACAUGACUAUUCCUGGUUUUUACAAAGGUAAAUUAGGGAUACAGCUUUCUUAACCACAGAAUCAUUUAUUCAUUAAGAAAUCAUCUCUUGCCUUUUUUCACUAUCAUAAAUGGCCAAGAGAUGGACUACAAGGUUUACUUGACUAGAUAGCCUCCAAAAACUGUAUGAAAAGAUCAACCACAUCUGUAAAUGGAAAUUUCUAGGCAAAGCUCUUGAAAUCCAACACAAGGUAAUUUAUUCAUUCAAGUUGAUAAAGUGCUAUAUAAAACUUUUUUUGGCUGGUUUCAUUCAGACACAAUUGAAAUAAAAAACAGUAAACGCAAAAAAUAAAUAUUGAAAAACUAAGCUAUUAUGUUUUGUUUUGGCAGACAGGUUUCCUUGUUGAGACAGAAUUAUUUAGAUUGAUCUAAAGAAUGUGAGGUAAGGUUGGGACUGAAAUACAGCUUGCUUCAAAAAGAUACAAAAUUUUAGGACAGAUUUCUCUCAGGUUUAGAAUAUGUCUUUGCCAUCAUGAAUUUUAAUUAUGUCAUCUCAUUUGAAACUUAAGAAAAUGCCAGGGCAUUUCUAAAAAUGAUCUUACCACUUUGACCAAAUGGACAAUGCCAGAAGAAUUUUGUAGUCUCCUUUCUCCAGAAUUAACUAAAAACAAAUAGUUUCGUGAAUCUGUUCUUAUUUCUUUUAUUUUUUAAUGUUUCCUAAAGUGAAUCACUUGAUAGCUAUUUGCUUAUAACAGUGCAUGCUUAAAAUGUCUUCUUUUAAUUAGCCAAGAUCAGAAAUGAGUUUUGGGUGGCUAUGGCUGUCCCAAAGUUCUCUCUAGUGAAAAAGGGACAAAUAAAGUUACAAAGAAUAAAAUGGUUUUCUUAUAGUUUUUAGUCAAGUAGGAAGUGUUAUAAAUCUGCAUGCUGUUUCUCUUGUAUUCCCUAGAACAUCUAACCCACAAUAUCUACUUCAAUGAUUAGAGUUUUUCUUCCCAUAGUAAGUCAUUUAUUGAAUAGGAAAACAAUUAACUUGUCUUCCUUGUCCAAACCACUUAUUCUCACUUAUUGCUCUCUACUAAUAUUUACUGCAACCAUAAAAGGUGUGUGCCGUAGUCCAGAAGCUGGUUACUUGUAAGUCUGAUGAGAUUCUUAACGUUAAACUCAAUGGGAUGGUAAAUAAAACUAGCAAAUGCAUGGUAUGGAUGCUGCAACAACCGGACCAACAUAAACUGAAUUCUGUUAAACGUAAAUUUGAUGGUAUUCCAAAAUUAAAAAAAAUCUGCUAUCAUAUUUUAGUCCUGUAGAAUCAACAUUUUAUUGGAUUUUCAGAGAUAUUUUAGUGAGUAGAAAAGUUUAUGGAGUGGAGAAAGGCAGGAGAUUGCCAAGGACAUUGAACUAAAAUACCAUUUCACCCUUAUUUGUCAGUUAUAACAGCCAUAUUCUAAUGCUAUUGACCGUCUUGUUGAAUUUCUUUCCUCAAGUUUCUUUUGGAAAUCUUUGAUUUCUCUUCCCUUAUACAAUGCUCACAGAAUGUCUCAUGUAUGGCCUGUACAAUUGCUGAACUAUAGUGGGUACAAGGAAUCAGAACACUCAUUCCCUUCUCAGGAUGAUAUGAAUAAUGAUAUGGCAGUAAAAAUUAAAUCCGGAUAGUGUGGCGCCCUCACAAUUAAAUCCAGUCAAAUUCCGGCUCCCAGCAUGGUGUCACCGAACAUAGACAUAAAACGUCCACCAACCUGUGCUAGCAGCAGAAAAAUAUUGGAUAGUGAGUCAGGUAGAAACUGGACAAAUUUUAAUGAAAGUUCCCCUUAUGGAUAAAGCAUGUUUGAGAAAUACAACCUUUUAGAUAAAAUUAAUAACAAUCAUUAAUAAUAAUAAACAGUAAUAAAAUAAUCUUUCUUCAUAUGUCAACUGAUGCACUGUUCUAAUACCUGAAAAAAUGUGUUUGAGGAUAGAAAAAGUUAUUUCACAUGGGCUUAGAAAAAUAUGAUUUUUUUUCCUGGUAUUAGGGGUCAGUCAUUCAUUAAGUAAAUGCUACUUAAAUUUUUUUCGUCUUCUUAAUGAUCCAUUACUAUUCUGUUUUCAUUCUUUUCUUCCUUUGUUCCUUCCUUCCCUCCUUCCUUCCUUCCCUCCUUCCUUCCUUCCUUCCUUCCUUCCUUCCUUCCUUCCCUCUUUCCUACAAUAUGGCAAGAAAUGUUUUGUCUCCAUUCAUCAACAGAUAUAUUGUACAGUGGAAAUAACAUGUUUCUGAUUGAUUUGAAGAUUAGUGACUAAUAAAAAUAAUACUAUUUGAUCCCAGGGCAUAAAAAUGUUUAUAGUUCUUCCCCUGUCUUGCUAAUAUCUAAGUUUUAUAAUACCUAAAUGCAGGAUAAGAAUUUUGGGUGUUCUGCUGGCUGGCAAAUGAUUUAGCAGAUAAGGCACUAAUCCCUAAGCCUAAUGUCCAUAGUUUGAUGUUAGGAACCCACAUAAAGGUCCAUAGACAUCACUGAAUCUACAAAAUUUCCCUGUGACCUCACCAAGGACACUAUAUCAUAUACACCAUACAGACUUCAUUCAUUUACACAACACUAUACAAACCAAUGGAAAUAAUAAAUACUUAACUGAGAACAAUUGCUCCUCAGCUUUCCCUAUUGUAUAUACCUUCAUUUUUAUUACCUCACCUAUAAUGAAGGGGUGAUGGAACAAUUUAUAUUUCCAUCUUUUUAUAUGAUAUAUAUUAUGCCACAUAAUUAUUUUUAUAAUAACAACUAUCAUGAAAUAAUUGAUUCUAAAAGAUGGUUCUUUUUUUAAAAAAGAUUUAUUUAUUUUUUCUACAUAAAUACGCUGUAGCUGUCUUCAGACACACCAGAAGAGGGCAUCAGAUCUCAUUAUAGAUAGUUGUGAGCCACCAUGAGGUUGCUGGGACUUGAACUUAGGACCUCUGGAAGAGCAGGCAGUGCUCUUAACUAGUGAGCCAUCUCUCUAUACUGUACUCACUAAUACAUAGAUAUUAGCCAAAAAAAUUAAAAAUUAAUAAAACCACAGAUUACCCCAAGGUACAGUCCACAGAACUCAAAAAACAACAAGCUGAAGGGCACAAGUGAGGAGGCCUCUGUCCCACUUGGGAGGGAGCAGAAUGAAACCACAAGGAGGAGGGAGAG